CAUGACGCAGUGACGUCAUGACGCGAAACGCCGGCGGUUUAGGUAGACGCCGCGGAGGAGCGGGUGGGCGCCAUUGUAAGUCCGUCAGGCGCCAGGGGCAAGCUGAGCUGAGGACGGUAAUUUGGCUGGCAGUGGCUGUGUGCUGAUGGUGGAGCGGCUGCGGAGGAUUAGCUGUAGGCCGCAUUUCAAAGAAGAUCUGCAUGGAGAGCUGAUGCACAAGGAAGCCUUCUUUUAAGAUAGCCAUUCUGGGCAUCAGCAUGCUGUUGUUGUGCAGCCUGGUGCAGCUCUCCAGGCAUUGGUGGUAGGAGCCAGGGGUGGGCCCCCCUCUCUGUAAGGGCCCGGGACUCCAGUCCCCGCAUACCCCCCUGAUGGCUGCACUGGCAGAACCAACUACAACUGUUUGGAAACUAGAUAAAAGGCGAUAAAUCAAUCAGCGGCACUCGGGGUCUUGUAACAGCAGGCAAGUGUAUUGAAAAUUCACGGCAUAGAAACCAACGUUUCGGCACAAACACGUCCCUUUGUCAAGGGGUCAAUGUCUGCUGAAGGAAUAUAUCUGGUUCCAAACCGAGUUAUAUUAUCAGAUGGUCAAAAAGUGCCUCCUGCAAAUGAAAACGUAAAGGCACAGUUACUGUAAAAUACUGGUGUUUUAAAGCCCUUUAACCUAUUAUAAGGGCUACAGUGACUUGCUUGAGAGAUUGAGGGCUUCAACCAUUGACGUCAAAAUGAGUUCAAUCACUUCUUCUGCUGACCUGUCACCGGUAAAGAACAUAACAUCCUGUGAUUAUCUUCAGUAUGGAACAAGGUUCUAUCCCAAGCUGAAUAAUCUGAGUGUAAAACGUAUGGAGCCUUUAUUAUGUCUGUGUCACUGUACUGCAGUUGAAUAAAGGUUACAGGGUUGAGAUGGAUAUUUAUUCAGUUUGUACAUAGAGGGUUUAUGAAAUUUUUAAUUUUGGUUAAUUUAGGAGCAAUCUGCCCUCUGCAAUUCACGUUCUCAUACUGUAUGCUUAAUAUACAUUCCUGUGUUACCACAAUUAGAGAUAUUUAUAGAAGACCUAGAUUUAACUUCUCACGAGCAGGGCCCUCCCUAACUUUUGUUUUCAUGUCUGCUCUUAAUUUGUCUACGUUGUCUGUCUCUGUUAAUGUACAGUAUGUCCUGUUUCCCUCACUGUCUAGCAAUGCAGAGUAUUGUGACAGAGACAGCACAAAUCUGACAUGGGUUUAGACCUGCCGAACUGUGGCUGGAGAGAAUACAGGCCAGGUAUUGCUGUUAGCCAGGGUUGAGAAGCACCUGAUUGCAGGCACCUGUCAGUUUGUGCUAAUAGGGUUUCAGACACAAGAAGCAUUGGUCCUGAUGGUGGACAAGCUGCCCAGGUUAUAGGCCAGGUGGUGGCUACUGUUAGAGGUCCUCCUGGACCUUAGGAUCCACUGGAGAACUUGUGUAUGCAUUUUGAAGACUCUGUGAACUCUGCUUUGCUGUAAUUGACUUGUAAAUCCUGCACCUGCUUGUGUAACUGCCUGUGGUUGAAAAUAAACAUAUCUUGGAUUUUA